rnacentral:rRNA from 1 species
AUGACGCGGAUCAUGAGGUCGCCGGGAAGUGCCGGCCCGACCAGCUGCCACUUGUUGACGAGGUCUACGGCGCCUUCUUGCACCGUCUUGGGGAUCUUAAACACGGUGACGGUGGGAGGCACUGGCAUGAGCUUCACCUGCCACGAGACGACGAUGCCGAAGCUCUCUCCGCCGCCGCCCCUGACGGCCCAGAAGUGGUCCGCGCUCAUGGAGCUCUUGUCGAGCAGCUUGCCGUCGGGGUCGACCACCUUGACGUCGAUGACGUUCUCGGCGGCGAUGCCGUACUUGCGCAGCAGCAUGCCGAAGCCGCCGCCUGCGAAGUUGCCGCCGACGCCGAUGGACGGGCAGACGCCGGCCGGGAACGCGAGCACGGGGCUGUUCUUCGCGAUGGCGUAG